AUUGAACGCUGGCGGCAUGCUCUACACAUGCAAGUCGAACGGUAACAGGCCGCAAGGUGCUGACGAGUGGCGAACGGGUGAGUAAUGCAUCGGAACGUGCCCAGUCGUGGGGGAUAACUACUCGAAAGAGUAACUAAUACCGCAUACGAUCUAUGGAUGAAAGCGGGGGACCGUAAGGCCUCGCGCGAUUGGAGCGGCCGAUGUCAGAUUAGGUAGUUGGUGGGGUAAAGGCUCACCAAGCCAACGAUCUGUAGCUGGUCUGAGAGGACGACCAGCCACACUGGGACUGAGACACGGCCCAGACUCCUACGGGAGGCAGCAGUGGGGAAUUUUGGACAAUGGGCGCAAGCCUGAUCCAGCAAUGCCGCGUGCAGGAAGAAGGCCUUCGGGUUGUAAACUGCUUUUGUACGGAACGAAACGGCUCUGGUUAAUACCCGGGGCUAAUGACGGUACCGUAAGAAUAAGCACCGGCUAACUACGUG
rnacentral:rRNA from 1 species